rnacentral:ncRNA from 1 species
UUUCCCUCAGGAUAGCUGGAGCUGGCGCGAGAGUUCUAUCGGGUAAAGCCAAUGAUUAGAGGCAUCGGGGGCGUAACGCCCUCGACCUAUUCUCAAACUUUAAAUAGGUCGAGCGGCGAGCUGAAUCCUUUGCAGACGACUUAAAUACGCGACG